GUUUUUCUUUUUUUGAGCUCAAAUGAGUUUCUGUGUUGGUGCAUGAAGUGCUUGCCAAACCAACAACAGCAAACAUAAGUACGUUGUAGUUGGAACAUACUCGAGCCUGUUAAUGAAUCUGUACUGCUAAUGAAUCAACAAACUAAAUCUCGCUAAGAAAUUUCUGGUAAAUUAUCUUGAUUGCUCCAGUCAACCUGCAUUACCGCGAGUAAGAAAUCAUAUGAACGUUAACAGUACACCUUACUAGGAGCGACAAAUUAAGAUUUGACUGAAAGAAUUAUAUGUUGAUAUUACAUAGAUACACACACACCAAUAUUAAGGGGACACAUAUCAAGAUUCUAAACUAAAACUAGCCACACAUUACAGUCUUGCUGACAAUAGAAAGUUUAAGCAUUUUACAUGCAGCUAUCCAGUACAUCCUCCGCCUCAAAAUAAGUGUCUUUGAUUUAAUAUAAUUUUCUUCCGUCCCCAAAUAAGUGUCUUUGAUUUAGUAUAAAAUUGUACUAAAUCAAAGACACUUAUUUUAUCAAAGACACUAAUUUUGAAACGGAGAAAAUACAGUUUAUGAUAACAAAACAAACUAAAAUGACACCCAACCGAUACACAUCACUACCUAGCUAGGAUCAAGCAAAUGAUGCUCGCUGUGUAGUAGCACGGACUCCAGACUCGAGAGCAGACCAGUAUAUAUUCCAUGGCCGGCAAGGGUAUAGCACUAGCUCUCCGAUUCAUUCCCAGGGGAUCUCGACGUUGAGAUCGAAGUCCCUGGGAACACCAUUUGGGUUUCGGGCCGCCGGCAGCACUACCGCAUCUGCUGCCGGAGGCGGCUGGGCUAUGUUGAGAUCAAUCGGGGUUGCGGCCAGAGGCGCCGGGGCUAUGGUGAGAUCAACCGCGGCUGCGGCUACAGGCGCCGGGGCUACGGUCGGCGCCAUGAUGUUGUCAACGGCCGGGGCGACGGCGAGCCCGUCGAGGCGCCGCUGCGCUUCGGCGACCCUGUUGGCCUUGCCGUGGGACGACAUGUGGCCGCCAAGGGAUUGUGGGGUGGGGAACUUCCUGGGGCACUUGGUGCACUGGUACUUUCCCUCCGAGUCCGACACCGGCGGCGGUACACCCCUCACCGGCGGCUGCGAGGAACCUCCCUCCUGGUUAACUGGACCAUGGAGCCACCAGUUCGUUGGAUCCAUGGCGCUGGCACCUUGUGAAGGCGUUGCAGGGAGGAUGCUGGGCAGCCCACGGCACCGUCGUGGUGUGGUGGAAUUGGAUGCUGGGCAAGGUCCUCACCGUCAAGCCGUAUGUAUAGUGCAUCAGGAGGGAGGGAGCCGUUUGUUUGAAGCAGCGAAUUAAAGCUCCAUAUAUCUCUUCCUGGUUUACAGGUUUCUUCUGCUGCUAUAUCUGGGAUACUAUAAUUGGAGAGAUGUAAAUGACCGACUCCAUGGCAAGCAUAUUCUUAAUUCCUUCCUGGACUGGCCACGCCACUACUGAGGGGUAAAACUGAGCAUGCCUAAAAAUUAAGGGCAAAACUGACUAACUGAGUAGUGGGUUCUAGUUAAGGGCAUAGAUGUAAAUGUCCCAUUAACUAAUGGUGGCUGAUCUAAGGUGGUCAAGCCAAGAACACUUAUUUUUCUUCACAAAAUUCCUGUGGAGGUUGAGCUACAUAGAACUCCUUAUCCUCAUUCCUCCAAUAUUGCUCUGAGAUGUGUGCUCUCCAACCAACUUACUAUAUAAAAACUUCUCUUUUUUUCUCUCAAACGAAACAACAUAUGGACUUCAAACUUUGCAAAUCAAACAAACUUUAGGACUCGAAUAUGUGCAAAACGGUCAUGUUUUUUUAUUUGACAUAGAUAUACAAAAUGAGACCCUUUCAUUUUAAAAACAAUUUUAAGCAUUUAAAAUGCAUGAAAAAAUCCGAAAUUUUUCCCGUGGUGUAGAUAGAAUGUUUUGUCUUCCUGGAAAGUUUGAAGUUUAUAUGUUGUUUCGUUUGAGAGAGAAAAAAGACAACUGCAUGGAUCGCAAUGCAGAAACGGAUGGGUAAGAUAAAGGGUACCAGGUAGCUCGACCUACAGUAAACUAUACUCUUAUUUCUUCCAUGGCGACUCAAAAGCUAUGCUUGGCAUUUCCGUGGCUUUUUGUUUUUUUUAUUUGUAGAUAUAAUAAUUGGGCCAGCAAGCUUUUUUUAAGAGUGGUGGUUUUGUUUUGCUAACUAGAACUAGAAGAUUUUCCGAUCUAACUAGAUUGUGUAAUUGAGUACAGUAGCAUAACAAGUGCAAACUGAACCAAAACUCUUGGAUGUGCUCCAAGUGAGUUCUUGUUUCUCUUUUUGUGAGCUCAAGUGAGUUCCUGUAUUGGCGCAUGAAGAGCUUGCCAAACCAACAACAGCAAUAAGUAUGAUGUAGUAGGAACAUAGUCUGGCCUGUAGAUGGAUCUAUACUGCUAAUGAAUCAACAAACUAAAACUCGAUAAGGAAUUUCUAGUAAGACAGCUUGAUUGCUCCCGUCAACCUGCAUUACUGCCAUGGUUUUCACAUUCAGUGACAAUUCGAUGAAAUUCACCGAAUUCCAAUAGACACUAAAAUAAUUACGUUUCGGCCAAAAUAUUUCAGCAAUUCCAGUAGUGCAUAGGAAUUCAAUUAUUUUCCAAAAAUUCAAAAAUUCAAUUGAAAUGCAAACCGAAAUCAUGGAAAUUUCAGUUGGGGCUGAAAUUUGUCUGAAACUCAAAUUGAAAACCAUGAUUACUGCAAGUAAUAAAUCGUACAAACGGUAACAAUACAAGUUAAUAGGAGCUACAAAUUAAGCUCUGACUGAAAGAACUAUAUGUCGGUAUUACUAAAGUUUAAUUACCCACACCCCAAUAUUAAGGGGACGCAUAUCCCAAAUUAUCAAUUCAAAAAGACAUUACGGUCUUGCUAACAAGUGACAAUAGAAUAUUUCAAAAGCAUUUUACAUGCGACUAUCUAGGAGUAAAUGAUAACAAAGCAUACUAAAAUGACACUGUCAACCGAUACACACUACUACCUAGCUAGUGUCAAGCAAAUGAUGCUCUCCGUGUAGUAGCACGGACUCCAGACUCCAAGCAGACCAAUAUAUAUUCCAUGCCUUGCACGGGUAUAGCGCUAGCUCUUCGAUUCAUUCCCAGGGGAUCUCGACGUUGUAGUUGGAACACUGUCUGGCCUGUAAAUGGAUCUGUACUGCUAAUGAAUCAACAAACAAAAACUUGAUAAAAAAAUUCUAGUAAGUCAGCUUGAUUGCUCCUGUCAACCUGCAUCACCACCAUGGUUUUCACUUUCAAUGGGAUUUCGAUGAAAUUCCCAGAAUUUCAGCAGACACCAAAAUAACUACGUUCUGGCCAACAUAUUUCAGCAAUUCUGUAGUGCUCAACAAUUCAAAUAUUUUUUUUUAAAAAAUCAAAUGUUUAAUCGAGGUCGACUGAAUAUUUCGGCCAUUGGGCCAAAAUGCAUUUUUUUACUUCGGUUUUCAAAAAUAUUCAAUGAAUUUCAUUUAUUUCGGUUGGGGGUGAAAUUUUUCUAAAACUGAAAUUGACAACCGUGAUUACCGCUUCAAGUCGUAUGAACUAUAACAAUGCACCUUGCUAGGAACGACAAAUUAAGCUCCGACUGAAAAAACUAUAUGCCGAUAUUACUAAAAUUGAAUUACACACACACACACCAAUAUUAAGGGGAUGCAUAUCCCAAAUUCUCGAUUAAAACUGGCUAGACAUUACAGUCUUUGCUGACAACGAAAUGUUUCAGAAACAUUUUAUAGGCAGCUAUCUAAAGUACUACCUCCAUCCCAAAAUAUAACACGUUUUGGUAGGCUAGUUUAGCCUACCGAAACGUUAUAUAUUUUAGAACGGAGGUACCGCGCUACACCAUCCAUAUCCAGGUGACGUCAGCAACUCCAUCAACACAACUCGUUCGUCCCAUAAGCCUAGUGUCCGCGCGUUUGCACUUUAGGUUUUCUAUUUAAAAAUAAAUAAAUUUGCAGGUCUAGAUGCAAAACAUAAAUAGGUAUAUGUCUGGAAACACCACUUCUCGUUUGACUUGCAGCCCUGAUGUUAUUCACUACAAUCCAAUUUGCACGGGAACCUAGCAGAAAUACAAACUAAUUAAUAUUCUAGUCGGCUCGGUAUACAUAGUCGAAGGAGGCUACUAACUUUUUGAGUCGGUUACUUAGGUAGAAUCGAUGGAGAUUGUAAAUUGUUAAUUCAAGCACAAUUGAGAAGCUAAACGGUUCCUCGUCCAUCUCAAAUGAUAUGAGUAUUCACUUUGGUUGAUUAAAGACGGUAGAUAAAACCGCCUCCAGACCUGUUUUGUACUAGUGAGUAAACAUACACUAGUUAGCAUUUCGCUAAAAACCCAUGUUAGUUUAAGUGUUAUAUGCUAAAAAUACGACAUUACCUUCUAAAGUACACAUGUCGUGAGAAAAGCUUUCCUAUGCUGCAUGUUAUAUAGUGUGCAUAGAUCCACUGUUCAACUUUGAAACAAAAUGAAACAUGACAAUACUCGAUAAAAUUAUGGUUAUACACCUUUUAUUAAAAAUUUGAACUUUGAAAAAUUUGUGUCCAAGCCUAUUCUUAGAUGGUCCUGUUAAUCUGAUUUGUCCAAUCUCUUCGGCAUUUGUGUCUGCUCAUGCAUAUCUUUCAAUAUUUCCCUCGUACCCACUUUCAACGUGUGCUUAUGCUAUGGCCCACCGUUGUCAACUCAUUUAAUGAGUGUCUGCUCAUGUAUAUCUUUCAAUACUUCCUUUGUAUCCUCUUUCAACGCGUGCUCAUGCUAUGGCCCUUUGUUGUCAACUCAUUUAAUGAGCGUCCGCUCAUGUAUAUCUUUCAAAAUUACCGUCGUAUCCUCUUUCAAUUUGUGCUCAUGCUAUGGCUCACCGUUGUCAACUCAUUUAAUGAGCGUUGAUUCGUCAUAUCCCUCCCAGUCCAGGUCGGCAAAUCCCAUUGGACGGUCAUAACAUCCAAUUGUCCACCAAUCGCACAGUGGUAAUGCACUAAGCGACAUAUCUGAUUAGCCAAUGGCUAUCCCUGUUUUGGGAAGCUUCUUCUGUCCGGUUUUUAUUGGUUUCGGGAAUCUUCUCAAAGGCUCCGGUCCAUUUUUUAUUCCUUUACAAUUUUUCCUGGGUUUCUUCGAAUAUGUCCAAUUAUUUUAAAAACUAUUCAGAUUUGUUUUUCAAAUAUUUAUAAUUCCAAAAUAUGUUUGCAUUUAGAACAUUUUCACAAUUUCAAAAACAAAUCACGUUUUUCACUUUUUCAAGAACCGCUCUUUGCUCCGAGUUGUAGUCGCUUGAAAAAUCUCGAAAGAGGACUAGUACCAAAGUAGUGAAUGCUAAAGGAUUACUGUUGGGGUGCCAUCUAGUGGAGGAGGAGCUCAAUUUCUUCAUAUGCUCAUUUGGCCUCUUGCAAUUGGGGAUUUUGAAGAAGGUGCUCAAUUUCUAUUAGGAGGAAUUUGGUCAAUUUGAAUCCCAACUUCAUCUCUACCUAGUCUGUUUUUUGAAAAUGAAUGACAUGCUUUGGUUGUUCAUUAAAAUAGAAAGAUCUUGAGCGUCAGCCGAACCAAACGUCAAGUUCUUCCAUAAUCUUCUGCAUGAGGAUGGAAGAUAUAUCACUUAGGUUAUUGGAAACCCCAUAUUAUGCCUCUUCCAAAUCUUGAACGAGACAAGAAUAAUCAUGGAAACACUAGCUUUUCUAGGUUGCAUUAUAUGCAAUGUGCACACACUUGACGAGCAUAAUUAUUUUGAAACGGAUUGAAGCACCAAUUAAUGAUGUUUGCACACAUGUGAAUCAACACAUGCUCAUGUUGAAGGUAGGCUUACCGCACCCAGACGAUAUCACAUGCGAGCAAAACCCUUUUAGUAAAACGACAAAUCUAUUAAUUGAAGGUGGGUAACUAUGUGGCACUCCUGUUUGCAUGAAAUGUAAACUGUGGAUGCAGUAAGGCCAACCACAAAUUCGAAGGUUGUCCUUCGUCCAUAGGCGAUUCAAGACCUCUAACCAUCCAACCAUUCCAGAACUUCACAAUUUGUAAGAAUGAUUUGCUUUUUUACAUGUCCCACAUGAAGAGUAUCUGCGUAACACGUCAAAUGAACUAUUUCAUGCAUCUCUAACCACACAAAAUCUCCUCAAUAUGGCCCUAAAGUGUUGUGCUUUUGUAGGCGGAAGCGGCCUGCUAAGACACAAGAGUGGUGAAAAGGUCAACAAACUAUUGCUUCGGUACAACCCCUUAAAAGUUCACACGAACCUUAAAGUUGCUGAAAAAGAGUUUUCUCGCACAUUCACGAUGAACAAAUUCGAAUCCAUAUAUUCUGCCAAUGGAUAAAACAAGAGAAAACAGAGCAAUCUAUUUUUUUUGUUGAAGGGGUAACUUCUAAACUCACUAACUAAUGGUGGCUGAUCUGAGGUGGUCAAGCCAACAACACCUAUUUCUUCCGUGGCGACUCAAAAGCUAUUCUUGGCAUUUCGGUGGCUUUUUGUUAAUUAUUUGUAGAGAUAAUAAUUGGUUCUGGAAGUUCUUUUUGCGUAUGUUGGAAGCUUUUUUUAGUAGUGAUGGUUUUCUUUUCCUUACUAGAACUACAAGAUUUUCCAAUCUAACUAGAUUGUGUAGUUGACUACAGUAUCAUAUUAAUUAAUACUUUUUAAGAAGGAGGAUGACCCCCACAUUUGCAUUAGGGCGAUACACGCAGCCAUUUUAUUAAUUAUUCAUCAAGACCUUACGAAAAAGUACAUCAAUAAAUCUGAAUCCAUCAUCUUGACAACAAAUGUCGCUACUCCUAUUAACUUGAUGAAGGGGUGCAAAUUGUCGGGGCCGCAUACCCAGAGCUCACACCAAAGCUCAACAUCUAAAGUCGGAGGCCCCGACCAAGCCGAAUUGCCGGAUCUGGGUUAGAACCAGUCCGGCUCACUCUCAACGGGCAUCGCAUGCGCACGCUGCAGAGGUGGUUGCCAAACUGCAAACUGAACCAAAACUGUUGGAUUCGCUGCAAGUGAGCUCCUGUUUUUCUUUUUUUCAGUUCAAGUGAGUUCCUGUGUUGGUGCAUGAAGUGCUUGCCAAACCAACAACAGCAAACAUAAGUACGUUGUAGUUGGAACAUACUCGGGCCUGUUAAUGAAUCAGUACUGCUAAUGAAUCAACAAACUAAAACUCGAUAAGUAAUUUCUAGUAAAUCAGCUUGAUUGCUCCAGUCAACCUGCAUUACCGCGAGUAAGAAAUCGUAUGAACGUUAACAGUACACCUUACUAGGAGCCACAAAUUAAGAUUUGAGUGAAAGAAUUAUCUAUUGAUAUUACAUACAUACACACACACCAAUAUUAAGGGGAC
rnacentral:lncRNA from 1 species